GACGAACGCUGGCGGCGUGCCUAAUACAUGCAAGUUGAGCGAUGAAGAUUGGUGCUUGCACCAAUUUGAAGAGCAGCGAACGGGUGAGUAACGCGUGGGGAAUCUGCCUUUGAGCGGGGGACAACAUUUGGAAACGAAUGCUAAUACCGCAUAACAACUUUAAACAUAAGUUUUAAGUUUGAAAGAUGCAAUUGCAUCACUCAAAGAUGAUCCCGCGUUGUAUUAGCUAGUUGGUGAGGUAAAGGCUCACCAAGGCGAUGAUACAUAGCCGACCUGAGAGGGUGGUCGGCCACAUUGGGACUGAGACACGGCCCAAACUGCUACGGGAGGCAGCAGUAGGGAAUCUUCGGCAAUGGACGAAAGGCUGACCGAGCAACGCCGCGUGAGUGAAGAAGGUUUUCGGAUCGUAAAACUCUGUUGGUAGAGAAGAACGUUGGUGAGAGUGGAAAGCUCAUCAAGUGACGGUAACUACCCAGAAAGGGACGGCUAACUACGUG
rnacentral:rRNA from 1 species